rnacentral:rRNA from 1 species
AUUGAACGCUGGCGGCAGGCCUAACACAUGCAAGUCGAACGAGUGGCGGAUGGGUGAGACACGUCGGGGAAACUGCCCGAUGGAGGGGGUUAACUACGGGAAACGGUAGCUAAAACCGCAUACCAUCGGAUGUGCACAGAUGGGAUUAGCUGGUAGGGGGGGUAACGGCUCACCUGGGCGACGACCCCUAGCUGGUCUGAGAGGAUGACCAGCAACACGGGAACUGAGACACGGUCCAGACUCCUACGGGAGGCGGCAGUGGGGAAUAUUGCACAAUGGGCGCAAGCCGGAUGCAGCCAUGCCGGGUGUAUAAAGAAGGCCUUCGAGUUGUAAAGUACUUUCAGCGAGGAGGCGUUACUCGCAGAAGAAGCACCGGCUAACUCCGUGCCAGCAGCCGCGGUAAUAC